GGGCAUACAGAAUUCAUUGAUAAUAUAAUUUCAAGUUGUCAGCAUUCCAAGUCCUGAAAAUGGCCGUCCCUUCCAAGGUUUCAAGUCGGUAGGCAUUUGGCCUGCAGGUGUCUGUAAUCUUGUAGGGUCCUUCCUAGUUCGGGGACAGUUUUUCUUGAUCUUGAGGCUUCGAGACUUUUGCCUUCCUUAGAACCAGGUCUCC
rnacentral:lncRNA from 1 species